rnacentral:rRNA from 1 species
GACCUCAAAUCAGGUAGGACUACCCGCUGAACUUAAGCAUAUCAAUAAGCGGAGGAAAAGAAACUAACAAGGAUUCCCCUAGUAACUGCGAGUGAAGCGGGAAAAGCUCAAAUUUAAAAUCUGGCGGUCCUUGUGGCCGUCCGAGUUGUAAUUUAGAGAAGUGUUAUCCGCGCUGGACCGUGUACAAGUCUCCUGGAAUGGAGCGUCAUAGAGGGUGAGAAUCCCGUCUUUGACACGGACUGCCAGGGCAUUGUGAUGCGCUCUCGAAGAGUCGAGUUGUUUGGGAAUGCAGCUCAAAAUGGGUGGUAAAUUCCAUCUAAAGCUAAAUAUUGGGGAGAGACCGAUAGCGAACAAGUACCGUGAGGGAAAGAUGAAAAGAACUUUGGAAAGAGAGUUAAACAGUACGUGAAAUUGCUGAAAGGGAAACGCUUGAAGUCAG